rnacentral:lncRNA from 1 species
GCGGUUCAGCUCGUCCGAGACUGCAGGGGCGGCUUCGGUGGGGAUCUUCGCCAGCGGACCGGGCAUAACCGGACGAGGGGGUCCCGUUCCCGAGGCUGUAGGCGUCGGGCACAGCUCCGGCAGACACGAGAGUGGGCGCCAUGGCUUUCUCCUACUGCUGCAGUAUACACAGAAAGAGGAAAAGAUCUUGAGGAGAGGAAAAGAGACUAGACAAGAGAGGAGGAGAGGGCUCUGCCUGCAGGUUCUUAGGGCGACCGGGUUGCUGCUGCUGCUACUUGGUGCGGGACGCGGGUAAGAAUCAGCUCCGGGCAUGGGGGUGCUCCUGGCCGAGGUAGGUGCUGCAGCUGUUGGAUCGAGGCCCCAUGGGGCGGCUCGGCUGCUCCUGCAGCUAGGCUCGGUCACCUUGCCGCUGCGGCUCGAACACAGCCGGGAGGCCGCGGCUCCGGUUCCUCAGGCUGCUCGGGAGGGAAGCAGGGAGGAACGCAUGCAAGAGGAGCAGGCUGAGGCGAGGUGCGGGGCUGGCUGGGAACCGAUCAAGGAGGGAAGAGGGGAUUGGCUCUGGUUUGGCUCGGCAUGGAUCUGGUGCGUGAUCGGUAGGUGGAGGAAAACAAGGUAGGAGACCAGGUGGUGUGCGGCGGCGGCGCUGAUGGGACAGGGGGGAGAAUUUCUAGGGUUCUGGUCUAAAUGAGCAAGGGUAUUCUAUAUAUAGCUAGUGGGUUAGGUAUAGGGGCAUCUGGACCCUCCGAUUUAUAUCGGAUGGUCGAGAUAAUUAGGAUCGGGAGUGCAAUGGACAAACCAAUGACGGUUUGCGGUAUAACGGGGUUGAUCCGGA